rnacentral:rRNA from 1 species
UCCCUAGACGUUCUGGGCUGCACGCGCGCUACAAUAAUACGCACAGCGAGUAUCACCGAGCUCGAAAGGGCAAGGUAAACAAUAGAAAAGGUACUGUAAUGGUUAUAGAUCCUUGUAAUUAUUGAUCUUCAACGAGGAAUUCCUAGUAAGUAUGUGUCAUCAUCACGCACUGAUUACGUCCCUGCCCUUUGUACACACCGCCCGUCGCUCCUACCGAUUGAGUGAGCCGAUGAAACUGCCGGAUGUGGACUAUUCAUAGUCUGCAGAAGAUAUUUGAAUCGUAGCGCUUAGAGGAAGGAGAAGUCGUAACA